GUCGACACGUAGUAGGAUAGAGGCAUUGGCAAGUGCGACCCAUUUCAUCAGGACGCGUCGUGUUCGUUCGGACAAAACGCGCACCCAACGCGACUACCAAGCUGGAGUACGGCAGAGACAGAGGGAAUUUCCGGUGGAGCGAUGAAAUGCAUUGAGAUCAGAAAGAACACCAACGGCGAAAGCACUCUGCUGGGCCGACACUGACGCUGAGAGACGAAAGCUAGGGGAACAAAUGGGAUUAAAGACCCCAAUAGUCCUAGCCGUAAACGAUGGAUACUAGGUGCUAUGCGACUCGACCACCCAACGCGACGGUCUAUUUCGGCGGUUGUCC
rnacentral:ncRNA from 1 species